UCGGGGGUCGUCUAAUGGCAGGACAAGGGUCUUUGGAACCCUAUAUCGAGGUUCGAGUCCUCGCCCCCGAG
rnacentral:tRNA from 1 species